rnacentral:rRNA from 1 species
GACGAACGCUGGCGGCAUGCCUAAUACAUGCAAGUCGAGCGAAUGACGAAGAAGCUUGCUUCUUCUGAUUUAGCGGCGGACGGGUGAGUAACACGUGGGUAACCUACCUUACAGAUUGGGGAUAACUUCGGGGAAACCGGAGCUAAAUACCGAAUAAUAUUUUUCUCCUCAUGGAGAGUUAUUGAAAGACGGUUUCGGCUGUCACUGUAAGAUGGGGCCCGCGGCGCAUUAGCUAGUUGGUGAGGUAACAGCUCACCAAGGCAACGAUGCGUAGCCGACCUGAGAGGGUGAUCGGCCACACUGGGACUGAGACACGGCCCAGACUCCUACGGGUGGCUG